UAAGCGGAGGAAAAGAAACUAACAAGGAUUCCCCUAGUAACUGCGAGUGAAGCGGGAAAAGCUCAAAUUUAAAAUCUGGUGGUCUUUGGCCAUCCGAGUUGUAAUUUAGAGAAGCGUCUUCCGCGCUGGACCAUGCAUAAGUCUCCUGGAAUGGAGCGUCAUAGAGGGUGAGAAUCCCGUCUUUGGCAUGGACCCCCAGGGCUUCUGUGAUGCGCUCUCAAAGAGUCGAGUUGUUUGGGAAUGCAGCUCAAAAUGGGUGGUGAACUCCAUCUAAAGCUAAAUAUUGGCGAGAGACCGAUAGCGAACAAGUACCGUGAGGGAAAGAUGAAAAGCACUUUGGAAAGAGAGUGAAACAGUACGUGAAAUUGUUGAAAGGGAAACGCUUGAAGUCAGUCGCGUCGACCGAGACUCAGCCUUGCCUUGGCUUGGUGUACUUCUUGGCUGACGGGUCAGCAUCAAUUUCGAUCCUUGGAUAAUGGCAAGGGAAAGGUAGCACCUUUACAGGUGUGUUAUAGUCCUUUGUCGGAUGCAAGGGUUGGGAUUGAGGAACUCAGCACGCACCUUGUCGGUGUCGGGGCCUUUUGGCCUACGUUACGUGCUUAGGAUGCUGGCAUAAUGGCUUUAAACGACC
rnacentral:rRNA from 1 species